rnacentral:rRNA from 1 species
AGAUUGAACGCUGGCGGCAGGCCUAACACAUGCAAGUCGAGCGGUAGAGAGGUGCUUGCACCUCUUGAGAGCGGCGGACGGGUGAGUAAUGCCUAGGAAUCUGCCUAGUGGUGGGGGAUAACGUUCGGAAACGGACGCUAAUACCGCAUACGUCCUACGGGAGAAAGCGGGGGACCUUCGGGCCUCGCGCCAUUAGAUGAGCCUAGGUCGGAUUAGCUAGUUGGUGAGGUAAUGGCUCACCAAGGCGACGAUCCGUAACUGGUCUGAGAGGAUGAUCAGCCACACUGGAACUGAGACACGGUCCAGACUCCUACGGGAGGCAGCAGUGGGGGAAUAGUUGGACAAGUGGGGGAAAACCCUGACUCCAGCCAUCCCGCGUGUGCGAUGAAGGCCUUCGGGUCGUAAAGC